GAGGUGUAAGCAUAGCAAUAUGUUAAGCUGACUAAUACUAAUAGGUCGAAGGUUUGACCAA
rnacentral:rRNA from 1 species